CCUUGUAUUUUUGCUAUUUUCCCCUAAACUCUUAUCCUUGAACAUCAGUGCUUGUAACUCUUCUCUUAAAUCCAGUACCUAUUUCCAUCAAUCGAGUCCCUUAGUGGACUGCAGGCGUGAAAGCUUACUGAUCCAUUCUGAUGGAACUUCUUAUAUAGAAGAUGCAAAUUCUAGUCACAAAAUAGUAUAUACUUCGCAGGAGCUAGGGACAACAAUCACGGCACCUGAUGGGGCCAAUGAAGUAACCAAUAAACCGCAGACAAAUGGCCAACGAUACAGGGCAUCGAGUAAGGACUGCCAAGGAUCUUCCAUACGUCAACCUCAGACAACCUUUGUUUCUAACCGUAGGCAGUCAACUGAAGCUGCUCAUGUAGAGAAACGUCUGACUGCAAUAGAGGAUUUAUCUUUGCAGAGUAUUCCACCAGGGAAUCUAAAGCAGUUGUUGAUUGCAUGUGCUAAAGCUCUCUCUGAAAACAAUAUCGAUAAAUUCAAUAUGUGGAUUGCAAAGGCCAGGGUUGCUGUGUCUAUCUACGGAGAACCAAUCCAGCGUCUUGGUGCUUACAUGGUGGAAGGGUUGGUAGAAAAAAAAGAGGCAUCGGGAUCUAACAUAUAUCGAGCCCUUCGUUGCCAAGAGCCGGAAGGCAAGGACUUGCUCACAUACAUGCAUACCCUGUAUGAAAUUUGCCCGUACUUGAAGUUUGGAUACAUGGCUGCUAAUGGUGCCAUUGCUGAAGCAUGCAGAACCGAAGAUCGCAUCCACAUUAUUGAUUUCCAGAUUUCUUAGGGAACACAGUGGGUGACCCUCUUGCAAGCACUUGCAGCCAGACAAGACGGAGCUCCUUAUGUGCGGAUUACAGGUGUAAACGGGCCAAUUUUCCCGGGUCUACAUCAAAGCCAAAGUAAUAAAUAAAUAAAUAACCAAAUAAUAAAAAGUCCAAUCAUUAGUCCAUUACAUAUCAGACCCAAUAGCCCAGUUACAAGCCCAUUUCAAAACAAUUUAGCUCAAUCAAAUAACCCAAUGCCUAAAAGGCCCAAUAGCCCAAAACCUAGACCUAGGUUCAGCCAAACAAAAACCUAGGGUUUCCUUAGCGCCGCAGCCCCUAGCCUCCAACGCCAUACAACCUCUAGCGCUUUAGCAGCCUCCAGCACAUAGCCCCUGUACGCCCCAUGACAAGCACCACGUACCACCGUGCCAACUGGCCUCCGUACCUGCGCAGAAACAGACAAACAAUAGCACAGCAAAGAGGAAGAACAAAAAAUCAAUUUGUAUUUGCUUUUUUCGUUUUUUACUCUUUUUUCGGCUAUAAAGCCAAGAACACUGUCAUUGUAUUUUUUUUAGACACACAAAAAAUGUAAUAGAAAGCAAUCAGAAUAGAGAAAAAAUAGAGCAAGGUGAUUUUCGAUUCAAAAAAUCUCUAGAUGCUUUAUUUUCUUUAGUUUCAUUCGGCCGGAUUUGUGAUUCUAAUAUUCGAAAGAAAAAAAUAAGAAAAAGGAAAAGAGGCUUACCUUGUAAAUGCGCCGUGGGUCGUCUUCUACUUCGUUGAAAUCGAAGUAUAGAGGAUGUCUUAAGGCUAAAAAAUAACCCCGAGGCUCAAUUAGGCUGGCCGCUGUUCAUGGUGGCGAAUCAGCUCUUAAGAGGAGCAUUUAGGGUUUUGCUGGUGAAGAGGAAAUGAGGCUAGGGUUGUCCGACUGACUGAGGCUUGAUUUUAGCCUUUUUAAGGGACCAAAAACGGUGUCCCUCUGAGCUUGUUUCAU
rnacentral:lncRNA from 1 species